rnacentral:rRNA from 1 species
AGCUCCAAUAGCGUAUAUUAAAGUUGUUGCAGUUAAAAAGCUCGUAGUUGGAUUUCUGUGAGAGUGCCGGUGUCGUCUGAUGAUUGUACGCAGGCGCUCUUACAUCCUUCUGUUAACUGAUCUUGGCAUUUUAUUGCUGGUUCAGGGCUCAGAUAUUUUACCUUGAGAAAAUUAGAGUGUUUCAGGCAGGCUUAUGCCGGAAUACAUUAGCAUGGAAUAAUGGAACAGGACCUGUGCGUCUUUCGGGGCGCCGGUCUCCGUUAUUGGUUUCGGGGACUAAAGUAAUGAUUAAUAGGGAUAGUUGGGGGCAUUAGUAUUUAAUAGUCAGAGGUGAAAUUCUCGGAUUUGUUAAAGACUAACUUAUGCGAAAGCAUUUGCCAAGGAUGUUUUCAUUAAUCAA